rnacentral:rRNA from 1 species
GAUGAACGCUGGCGGCGUGCCUAAUACAUGCCAGUCGAGCGAACGGACGAGAAGCUUGCUUCUCUGAUGUUAGCGGCGGACGGGUGAGUAACACGUGGAUAACCUACCUAUAAGACUGGGAUAACUUCGGGAAACCGUAGCUAAUACCGGUUAAUAUUUUGAACCGCAUGGUUCAAAAGUGAAAGACGGUCUUGCUGUCACUUAUAGAUGGAUCCGCGCUGCAUUAGCUAGUUGGUAAGGUAACGGCUUACCAAGGCAACGAUGCAUAGCCGACCUGAGAGGGUGAUCGGCCACACUGGAACUGAGACACGGUCCAGACUCCUACGGGAGGCAGCAGUAGGGAAUCUUCCGCAAUGGGCGAAAGCCUGACGGAGCAACGCCGCGUGAGUGAUGAAGGUCUUCGGAUCGUAAAACUCUGUUAUUAGGGAAGAACAUAUGUGUAAGUAACUGUGCACAUCUUGACGGUACCUAAUCAGAAAGCCACGGCUAACUACGUG